rnacentral:rRNA from 1 species
GACGAACGCUGGCGGCGUGCUUAACACAUGCAAGUCGAACGGAAAGGCCUCUUUCGGGGGGUACUCGAGUGGCGAACGGGUGAGUAACACGUGAGUAACCUGCCCUUGACUUUGGGAUAACUUCAGGAAACUGGGGCUAAUACCGGAUAGGAGCUCCUGCUGCAUGGUGGGGGUUGGAAAGUUUCGGCGGUUGGGGAUGGACUCGCGGCUUAUCAGCUUGUUGGUGGGGUAGUGGCUUACCAAGGCGUUGACGGGUAGCCGGCCUGAGAGGGUGACCGGCCACAUUGGGACUGAGAUACGGCCCAGACUCCUACGGGAGGCAGCAGUGGGGAAUAUUGCACAAUGGGUGGAAGCCUGAUGCAGCAACGCCGUGUGCGGGAUGACGGCCUUCGGGUUGGAAACCGCUUUCGCUCAUGACGAAGCUUUGUGUGACGGUAGUGGGUAAAGAAGCACCGGCUAACUACGUG